rnacentral:lncRNA from 1 species
UUGUGACAAGAUAUGGUUCACCUAGGACAUGGACACUAGUAAGAUAAGUUUCAUAUAUAAUCACUCUGAAAACUGGGAGAGAUUAACAUAGAAACUCAAAUAAUGGGGGCUGGAGUAAGGGUUCUUCAUUAUAAAUUACAUAAAUCUUAUGAAACAUCAAAAUCAUCAAGAAUGCUAUGCAUAUUUAUAGUUCUAUCCCUUCCUACAUUCACUAUUUAUCUGGUGCCAAUUAUCCACCUUGUUCAGGAUUUUGAGGCAGUAAUGGUAGUAAAAGGUUGAACCCGUAGGAACUAUUUUCAGGCAUGAUCUACAAUACCAUUCCCGAACAGAUUAAACAAGGAAGAUUGUUCAUCAUUAUGGUUAUGGGUACAAAAAAUUUGUCAGCACGUUCUGUGUC